UGUUCUAUGGCUGAACUGGUGAAGGCAUUGCCGAUUACAGACGAAGAUGCGGGUUCGAGUCCUGCUGGAACGG
rnacentral:tRNA from 1 species